rnacentral:rRNA from 1 species
GACGAACGCUGGCGGCGUGCUUAACACAUGCAAGUCGAACGGAAAGGCCCUGCUUUUGUGGGGUGCUCGAGUGGCGAACGGGUGAGUAACACGUGAGUAACCUGCCCUUGACUUUGGGAUAACUUCAGGAAACUGGGGCUAAUACCGGAUAGGAGCUCCUGCUGCAUGGUGGGGGUUGGAAAGUUUCGGCGGUUGGGGAUGGACUCGCGGCUUAUCAGCUCGUUGGUGGGGUAGUGGCUUACCAAGGCUUUGACGGGUAGCCGGCCUGAGAGGGUGACCGGCCACAUUGGGACUGAGAUACGGCCCAGACUCCUACGGGAGGCAGCAGUGGGGAAUAUUGCACAAUGGGCGGAAGCCUGAUGCAGCAACGCCGCGUGCGGGAUGACGGCCUUCGGGUUGUAAACCGCUUUCGCCUGUGACGAAGCGUGAGUGACGGUAAUGGGUAAAGAAGCACCGGCUAACUACGUGCCAGCAGCCGCGGUGAUACGUAGGGUGCGAGCGUUGUCCGGAUUUAUUGGGCGUAAAGGGCUCGUAGGUGGUUGAUCGCGUCGGAAGUGUAAUCUUGGGGCUUAACCCUGAGCGUGCUUUCGAUACGGGUUGACUUGAGGAAGGUAGGGGAGAAUGGAAUUCCUGGUGGAGCGGUGGAAUGCGCAGAUAUCAGGAGGAACACCAGUGGCGAAGGCGGUUCUCUGGGCCUUUCCUGACGCUGAGGAGCGAAAGCGUGGGGAGCGAACAGGCUUAGAUACCCUGGUAGUCCACGCUGUAAACGGUGGGUACUAGGUGUGGGGUCCAUUCCACGGGUUCCGUGCCGUAGCUAACGCUUUAAGUACCCCGCCUGGGGAGUACGGCCGCAAGGCUAAAACUCAAAGGAAUUGACGGGGCCCCGCACAAGCGGCGGAGCAUGCGGAUUAAUUCGAUGCAACGCGUAGAACCUUACCUGGGUUUGACAUGGAUCGGGAGUGCUCAGAGAUGGGUGUGCCUCUUUUGGGGUCGGUUCACAGGUGGUGCAUGGCUGUCGUCAGCUCGUGUCGUGAGAUGUUGGGUUAAGUCCCGCAACGAGCGCAACCCUUGUUCACUGUUGCCAGCACGUUAUGGUGGGGACUCAGUGGAGACCGCCGGGGUCAACUCGGAGGAAGGUGGGGAUGACGUCAAGUCAUCAUGCCCCUUAUGUCCAGGGCUUCACGCAUGCUACAAUGGCUGGUACAGAGAGUGGCGAGCCUGUGAGGGUGAGCGAAUCUCGGAAAGCCGGUCUCAGUUCGGAUUGGGGUCUGCAACUCGACCUCAUGAAGUCGGAGUCGCUAGUAAUCGCAGAUCAGCAACGCUGCGGUGAAUACGUUCCCGGG